rnacentral:rRNA from 1 species
UACGGGGGGGGCAAGCGUUGUUCGGAAUUACUGGGCGUAAAGGGCUCGUAGGCGGCCAACUAAGUCGGACGUGAAAUCCCCAGGCUCAACCUGGGAACUGCGUCCGAUACUGGAUGGCUUGAAUCCGGGAGAGGGAUGCAGAAUUCCAGGUGUAGCGGUGAAAUGCGUAGAUAUCUGGAGGAACACCGGUGGCGAAGGCGGCAUCCUGGACCGGUAUUGACGCUGAUGCGCGAAAGCCAGGGGAGCAAACGGG